rnacentral:rRNA from 1 species
CAAUAGCGUAUAUUAAAGUUGUUGCAGUUAAAAAGCUCGUAGUUGGACCUUGGACCUGGACAGGCGGUCCGCCUCACGGCGUGUACUGUCUUGCUGGGUCUUUCCUCUUGGUGAUCUGUUGUUUCGGCAGCAGGGAACCAGGACUUUUACUUUGAAAAAAUUAGAGUGUUCAAAGCAGGCUCGACGCCGGAAUAUAUUAGCAUGGAAUAAUAAAAUAGGACGUGCGGUUCUAUUUUGUUGGUUUUUGGAAUCGCCGUAAUGAUUAAUAGGGACAGUCGGGGGCAUUAGUACUCACAUGCUAGAGGUGAAAGUCUUGGAUUUUGUGAAGACUAACUUCUGCGAAAGCAUUUGCCAAGGAUGUUUUCAUUAA